rfam:Natronorubrum sulfidifaciens JCM 14089 contig_46, whole genome shotgun sequence.
AUUCCGGUUGAUCCUGCCGGAGGUCAUUGCUAUUGGAGUCCGAUUUAGCCAUGCUAGUUGUACGAGUUUAGACUCGUAGCAGAUAGCUCAGUAACACGUGGCCAAACUACCCUAUGGAUCCGGACAACCUCGGGAAACUGAGGCUAAUCCGGAAUACGAUUCUCAAGUUGGAAUUGCUGAGAAUCCGAAACGCUCNAACGGCCCACCGUGCCAAUAAUCGGUACGGGUUGUGAGAGCAAGAGCCCGGAGACGGUAUCUGAGACAAGAUACCGGGCCCUACGGGGCGCAGCAGGCGCGAAACCUUUACACUGCACGCCAGUGCGAUAAGGGGACUCCGAGUGCGAGGGCAUAUAGUCCUCGCUUUUCACCACCGUAAGGAGGUGGUAGAAUAAGUGCUGGGCAAGACCGGUGCCAGCCGCCGCGGUAAUACCGGCAGCACGAGUGAUGACCGCUAUUAUUGGGCCUAAAGCGUCCGUAGCUGGCCGCGCAAGUCUAUCGGGAAAUCUGCCCGCCUAACGGGCAGGCGUCCGGUGGAAACUGCGUGGCUUGGGACCGGAAGAUCCAGAGGGNGAGGGACGAAAGCUCGGGUCACGAACCGGAUUAGAUACCCGGGUAGUCCGAGCUGUAAACGAUGUCUGCUAGGUGUGUCACAAACUACGAGUUUGUGAUGUGCCGUAGGGAAGCCGUGAAGCAGACCGCCUGGGAAGUACGUCCGCAAGGAUGAAACUUAAAGGAAUUGGCGGGGGAGCACUACAACCGGAGGAGCCUGCGGUUUAAUUGGACUCAACGCCGGACAUCUCACCAGCAUCGACAAUGUGCAGUGAUGGUCAGUGUGAUGAGCUUACCAGAGCCAUUGAGAGGAGGNGGUAGCUGGGUACAUUAGGCGGACUGCCAGUGCCAAACUGGAGGAAGGAACGGGCAACGGUAGGUCAGUAUGCCCCGAAUGUGCUGGGCGACACGCGGGCUACAAUGGCCACGACAGUGGGAUGCAACCCCGAGAGGGGACGCUAAUCUCCGAAACGUGGUCGUAGUUCGGAUUGAGGGCUGAAACUCGCCCUCAUGAAGCUGGAUUCGGUAGUAAUCGCGCCUCAGAAGGGCGCGGUGAAUACGUCCCUGCUCCUUGCACACACCGCCCGUCAAAGCACCCGAGUGAGGUCCGGAUGAGGCCGCCGCAACGGCGGUCGAAUCUGGGCUUCGCAAGGGGGCUUAAGUCGUAACAAGGUAGCCGUAGGGGAAUCUGCGGCUGGAUCACCUCCA